NUGUAAGUGCGUGUGUGGGUGUGAGUGUGUGAGUGUAAGAGUGUGUGAGAGUGUGAGUGCAUGUAUGUGUUGGAGUGUGAGAGUGUGAGAGUGUGUUGGAGUGUGUGAGUGUGAGUGGAAGUGUGUGAGUGUGUGUGUAUCUGAGUGUGUGUGAGUGUAAGUGUGUGUGUGUGUGUGUGUGUUUAGGGUUGGAGGUUUCCCUGGCACAGAAUCAAGCUCCAGUCUGUCAAGACUCAGAUGCGGGAUUGCCAGAG
rnacentral:lncRNA from 1 species